rnacentral:rRNA from 1 species
CCCUACGGGGUGCAGCAGGCGCGAAACCUUUACAAUGCACGCAAGUGUGAUAAGGGAACCCAAAGUGCUUUACUUUGUAAGGCUUUUGCCAAGCGUAAAAAGUUUGGCGAAUAAGUGGUGGGAAAGACUGGUGCCAGCCGCCGCGGUAACACCAGCGCCACGAGUGGCGAUCAUGUUUAUUUGGCCUAAAGCGUCCGUAGCUGGUUAAGUAAAUCUCUUGUGAAAUUGUUUCGCUUAACGAAACAGCGUGCAGGAGAGACUGCUUAACUAGGGACCGGGAGGAGUCAGAGGUAUGCUGGGGGGAGCGGUAAAAUGCAAUAAUCCUCGGUAGACCACCUGUGGCGAAGGCGUCUGACUAGAACGGGUCCGACAGUGAGGGACGAAAGCCAGGGGAGCAAACCGGAUUAGAUACCCGAGUAGUCCUGGCCGUAAACGCUGCGAGCUAGGUGUUGCAUAUUCUUCGUGAAUAUGCAGUGUCGAAGCGAAGGUGUUAAGCUCGCCGCCUGGGAAGUAUGGUCGCAAGACUGAAACUUAAAGGAAUUGGCGGGGGAGCAC